rnacentral:lncRNA from 1 species
UAUGUUAUAAAUGAAUUAGAUAUUUCAACAAACUAGUUUGCAUUAUAAUCAGGGGGAAACAUUACAUUUACAUUGCACAUGUUCAUGUUUUUCUCUGACUGCUAAUGGCGUCUGUAUAUUAAAUCCAUUGGAUGUUGAAUGUGUACUGAUUGAUACUGUAGUAUAUAUAGUAAUCAUGAUUUUUGUAUUAGUUGUUAGUGGCUUUGAACUGGUUGUCAGUACUUGCGAGUUCUCUCAGAUUUCUGCUUAGUGUCUUUUUAGUUUUAGGGAUAAAUAAAUACCCCACGUCCGGUCUGUGUUUUAGUAAUUUAAUUUUUGCUUUGUAUCGAUCUAAUGAAUCAAGCCAUUUUCAACUGAUUUUAAUAGUUUGUUUAAUAAUGUCACACGACUGUCCCAGGUUAGGGGAGGGUUAGUCGCCCGCUUACACGUUUAACCCCGCUACCUUAUGUGUGAACAUGUCCCAAGUCAGGAGCCUGUAAUUCAUUGGUUGUCGUUUGUUGCUGUAUGUCAUAUUUGUAUUUCUUUAUUUAUUUUACAUGAAUGAGGCCGUUAGUUUUCUCGUUUGAAUUGUUUUACGUUUGUAAGUUUAGGACCUUAAAAAGCUGACUAUGUGGUAUGGACGUUGCUCAUUGUUGAAGGUCAUACGGUG